GAAAAAAAAGAAAAAAGUAGGAAAUCCCAUAAAGGAACGAACUUUGAGGUCCAACGUUAACUCACAUAAACUCAAAACAAAGUAAAUCAGAAGCGAUAUUUAAUGAAAUAGCUUAGCAGUCACCACAUCUACUUCCUUCUUCUAAUGAAAGAACUGACCCAAGAUCACAUCUUGGGUUCAUUGCCUCAGGUUUCCCAAUCUAAAUCGAAAGAUAUAUGAAAAACAAAACCCAGAAAUUUACAAACCCUGG
rnacentral:misc_RNA from 1 species